rnacentral:rRNA from 1 species
GGUCCCAAGGGUUUGGCUGUUCGCCAAUUAAAGCGGUACGCGAGCUGGGUUCAGAACGUCGUGAGACAGUAAAAAUAAAAAACGAUGUUCAUAGAUGAACAAAUUCUUUUCGUAAAGUGCUUUGACAUAAGUCAAAGCAAAGACUGUGCUGUCUAUAAAUCUUACUAAUUGCUGGAAACUCUGAACAAGUCCAUGGGAGAGUUAGAGGACUUGGGUAUCUCACACUACUAUGGUAUAAUAGUGAUAUUAUGCAAAGUAAAAAUGUGUUGAGUGCAGACAAUCAGCAGGAAAGACCGCGAUUAAAUCAAUGGUAUAUAACCGGUUUUGUUGAUGGCGAAGGAAGUUUUCAUAUUGCUCUAUAUAAAGAUGAGAAUAUGAAGACAAAACUUAAAGUGAUUCCUGAAUUUCACAUUUCUCAAAACGCUUGUUCAAUUCAAGUGUUGGAAAGAAUACAAAAGUAUUUCAAGUGUGGAAAUAUAAAAGAGAAUCAUCGCCAGAGAAAAACUGAUAAUACCUAUGUGUUUGUGGUUCGAAAUCGACAAGAUUUGCUUGAGAAGAUUAUUCCGUUUUUUGAACGGUAUAAACUCCAAACAAGCAAAGCGAAAGAUUUUGAAUAUUUUUCUUCAAUCGUCAAAAUGAUGAAUGAAGGAAAACACCAAACGAAAUCGGGAAUCAAAGAAAUAAUAUCGUUGGCAUAUCAAAUGAAUGCCAAAGGUAAAAGAAGAAAAACAAAACAAACCGAUUUGAUAAAAAUUGCGGAAUCCUCAGAGACUAUACGUAAGACCCCGAAUUCUCCGCCAGAGGCGGAUAAGAAAACGGGAAAGAUAUAGUCCGAACUGUGCCGCGAGGUACAGAUCCCGACCAGGUCGGGACACCAUAGAGCAAAUCAGGAUACGGAUAUGGUCUGCAAAGUAACAGAAUUGUCGGUCUCCUAUCUGUUGUGGUCGACGAAUAUUGAAGGAGCUCAUUCCUAGUACGAGAGGACCGGAAUGGACAAACCUCUAGUGUACCAAUUGUCCUGCCAAGGGCAUCGUUGGGUAGCUACGUUUGGCGCAGAUAAGCGCUGAAAGCAUCUAAGCGCGAAGCUGUUCCUAAGAUAAAUAUUCAUUUAAGAUCUGUUCGAGACUAGAACGUUGAUAGGCACUAGGUGUAAGUUCCGUAAGGAAUUGAGCCGAGGUGUACUAAUCGAUCGAGCGU